GGGCUGCACCUGUGGCAUAUGGAAGUUCCCAGGCUUGGGGUCGAAUUAGAGCUGCAGCUGCUGACCUAUACCACAGCCAAAGCAAUGUAAGAUCUGAGCCGCAUCUGUUACCUACACUGCAGCUCAUGGCAACACUGGAUCCUUAACCCACUAUGUGGGGCCAGGGAUCGAGCCCGAAUCUUCAUAGAUCCUAGUCAGAGCUUUUCUUUACACAAUUCUUACAUUCUGGGAAUGAGAGUCACUAGACAGGAGUAAGACACGCAUUUGUUAAAUAUAUUUAGCAGUUUAAAAACAGAAUGGAAUUUGACAACUAGAAAAGAUACUUGGAAAACACUUGCUGAAACGCCUCAUCUUAUAAAUAAACUGAGGCUCAGAGAAAUUAUGUGAUUUGCCCUGGAUCACACUGUUAUCUGACAGAAGGACUAAAAUUUUGGUACUCAAAAGUUUAAUGGCUGCUUUUCCAUUAUACUACUAUCAUUCAAUAAAAAAGAAUUGUGGUAAAUUUUUUAAAAUUCAGAGAUGAUUUUCUUCUUUCAUUUCUUUAUUUUUAAGAGGAUAUGAAUCAAAUCAGUAUAUUUAUUUAGCUGAUAAGCACAUACUCAAGCUCUGCCCAUUUACUCAUUUAUUCUGCCCACCUGACUUUUCCCAGAGGUCAUUUAAAGAGAAAAUCAUGUUUUAAGAACUCUAACAGCCCAAGAAAAUGUUUUACCCUAGAAGUGAACAUAAAAUGUAUGUGUUUAUUACUAAAGCAAAGGCUAUGUACUCUCCCCACCCUACCAUUGUUAGUGAGAAUUUAGAAUCUUCCUCAAUCUCUUACAGAGGUAAAAAUCCACCCUUGGUGGGAGCAGCUGUGACUCUGUGAAAGAUGCUACAAAUAAACAUGCUGGGAAAUUCAGCAGGCACUGUUAUUAUAUCCUGUUUAUACUGUCAUUUUUCCUAUCAGUAGGAUAUUAUUUAUACAGACCCCACCCAUGAACUUCUUGUUUAUCUUAUUAUAGAAAUCCUCCCAAUCUAUAAAAAGAAGCCUCUGUAUUUUGUUUCUGGGACAAGAACAUGUGUUAUAAUUUUGCACCUCGGUACAUUUUUUAAUUUAGCAUUUCCUUUUGUUAUGCACCACUUGUUCUCAUUUUUAUCUCAAGGUUGAUUUAUUUCAUUAUUUCACAUAUUAAACUUAACUGACUUUAAGAGACUCCAAUUCCAGAGCACCAUAUCCUAUACUUUAUUUUGGAGUAGAUUUCAUCAGGUAGAUACUCUUCUAAGACAAACUUCACAUUUGUUUAGACAGAAAAAUGUGCCUAUAUACGAAUCAGGCACCCCAAUGAGUGAGCCCUGGAUGCCUAUAAGACUUCCUCAGCCAGGCAAUUCUAACGCAGGUAGGGCAAUUACGAGGGCCAGGCUUUACACCGGUUCUCACUAACUAACUAUGCUCUAGGUAGAUUUAGUUGGAAUGAAAAGCACUGCCCUUGAGUUUAGCUUCAUGGCUAAAUACGCUAGUGAAAAUGUAACACUGUAACACAUGAGAAAUACAUGAAUUCAGUAAGUUGACCAAAGGGACAAUGAACCAAUCUGGUUAUAAAUCAUCCUCAUUCCCCUGUCUUAUGUAAAUAAUUGAAUUAAAGUAGAUAAAAGAAAAAUGCUGAGUUUCUUAAGAGCAGAAAUUCAUGCAGCAUUUAUUGAGCAAAUAAAUAUUUCUGGAGGGUAAAUACCAUUGAACAAAGUCAUGCUGGAUAAAUUUUCACAUGUAUAGCUUGUGUUAGGUUACCAAUGCUCCCUUUCUAGGUAAACAUGAGAUCUUCAGACAGUAUGGGCAAUGCUAGACUCUUUGAGAAUGUGUAAGAAAGAUCUCUGAUUUUAAAGAACAAUACUCUAAAAUGAGUAUUGUUUACUAUCUCAGGGUUCUGAAUUAAGUGGAAUUAAUUUCAGAAAAGAGAGAGGUCUACAUGGGCUGUCAGGAUUAAAGAAGUCAGAAUGAGGAUAAUAACUGAGGUAAUAUUGAUAAACAGGAACUGGUAAGACCAAGGUGAGGAUACGAGGCAUCAUAGGCGUAAUCAAUGAUUUGUGAGCAUCCAGGUAAGCAGAAUAGUGGAAAUGAUAAGCAGCUGAAUCAAGGUAGGAAGUAUACUGGGUAGGAGUUAGAAAUAAACAGGCUGGAACAGAUUAUAGUUUCAUUUACCAGGCAAUGGAGAACCAUCAAAGACAUCUGAUCAAGGGAAAAACGGCUUUUGCACUAGGAAUGAAGAGGAAGAAUAAACUGGCAUAAGGCAGAAAUGGGGAGAAGGAGUUUUUUAUAGCACCAAAUCCUAUGAUUAUAGUAGCGAAAGGCCAAGUAACAUAACAGAUAAUACAUGCGUAAAAAUUUCAACUCUUGCUUUCAAAAACAGGAGGUGGCU
ensembl:lncRNA